CACGUAGGGCGCAAGCGUUGUCCGGAAUUAUUGGGCGUAAAGAGCUCGUAGGUGGUUUGUUACGUCUGCUGUGAAAUCCUAGGGCUUAACCCUGGGCUUGCAGUGGAUACGGGCAGACUAGAGGUAGGUAGGGGAGAAUGGAAUUCCUGGUGUAGCGGUGGAAUGCGCAGAUAUCAGGAAGAACACCGAUGGCGAAGGCAGUUCUCUGGGCCGUAACUGACGCUGAGGAGCGAAAGCGUGGGGAGCGAACAGG
rnacentral:rRNA from 1 species